GACUGGCGUCCCGGAGCUCCGGGCGCCCCUCGACCGCCACCGGCAUCACCUGGGCCGCUACGCCGCAGUGCCUGGCCUGCUGUCCCCGAGCCCGGAGCUUCCCGUCUGCUCCCGGGCGAAAUCGGAGACAAUUUCAACUCUGAGAAGAGCAACCGAGCAAGCGAAAUAAACUGUACACCACCAUGCACGUGCGACCAAAGUCUCUCGGCCCUCCUCCAUUUCGAAUACUUCUCUCCUUAUUUCCGAAAUACGCAUUGUUUUAAUACUUCAUCUCAGUUCCAAUAGAAUGGAGAUAUUCUUAACUGUGAACUUUGCAGACAAUCAAAACCUUUUUUAAAGCCAUCCCACCGUGACAACAAAGCGAUUAAGAUGUUUUCUAUUUCGUAAAUACCAUUUAAAAUUGCUAUAUUUUAUGCUCUGGGUUCUACACUGUCUUAUUUGCACACUAUUUUGUGUCUGAUUUAAUCUAUAACCGAAAACAUAAUGUAUUAAGUGAAUACAUAUUUGCUCAGCUGAUAAGCUUUUUUUAAUA
rnacentral:lncRNA from 1 species